GACGAACGCUGGCGGCGUGCUUAACACAUGCAAGUCGAACGGAAAGGCCCUGCUUUUGUGGGGUGCUCGAGUGGCGAACGGGUGAGUAACACGUGAGUAACCUGCCCUUGACUUUGGGAUAACUUCAGGAAGCUGGGGCUAAUACCGGAUAGGAGCUCCUGCUGCAUGGUGGGGGUUGGAAAGUUUCGGCGGUUGGGGAUGGACUCGCGGCUUAUCAGCUUGUUGGUGGGGUAGUGGCUUACCAAGGCUUUUACGGGUAGCCGGCCUGGGAGGGUGACCGGCCAAAUUGGGACUGAGAGACAGCCCAGACUCCUACAGGAGGCAGCAGUGGGGAAUAUUGCGCAAUGGGCGGAAGCGUAAUGCAGCAACGCCGCGUGCGGGAUGACGGCCUUCGGGUUGUAAACCGCUUUCGCCUGUGACGAAGCGUGAGUGACGGUAAUGGGUAAAGAAGCACCGGCUAACUACGUG
rnacentral:rRNA from 1 species